ACACAAACUGAGGGAGAUUGUGUGCAUGAGUGUAACUUUGAGGCCUUGUCGAAAUUAAUGGUUAAGGACUUGGUGUUUCCUGUUAACGUGCAUCUUGGCCAGCACUUCACUAAACCACCACCACGUUAUUCUGAGGGUGCAUUGAUUAAAAAGCUAGAAGAACUUGGAAUUGGGAGGCCAUCUACUUAUGCAUCUAUAAUGAAAGUGUUACUGGUAACAUGACAUUUUACUUCUGAACUAUUUUUUACCGUGGUACUGUAAGGCUAUUU